rnacentral:rRNA from 1 species
AUACGGAGGAUCCAAGCGUUAUCCGGAAUCAUUGGGUUUUAAGGGUCCGUAGGCGGGUUUGUAAGUCAGUGGUGAAAGUUUUCGGCUCAACCGGAAAAUUGCCAUUGAUACUGCAAGUCUUGAAUCAUUAUGAAGUGGUUAGAAUGUGUAGUGUAGCGGUGAAAUGCAUAGAUAUUACACAGAAUACCGAUUGCGAAGGCAGAUCACUAAUAAUGUAUUGACGCUAAGGGACGAAAGCGUGGGUAGCGAACAGGAUUAGAAACCCGGGUAGUCC